UGAGUCGGCCGGGCGGCCGCGGCACGUCCUCCGGGACGGGUCGAGGAAAGUCCGGACUCCACAGGGCAACGGUGGUGGCUAACGGCCACCCACGGUGACGUGCGGGACAGUGCCACAGAAAACAGACCGCCAGCGGCCCCAGCUCCUCGGAGUCGGGGUGCGGGUAAGGGUGAAACGGUGAGGUAAGAGCUCACCAGCGCCUCGGGUGACCGGGGCGGCUAGGUAAACCCCACCGGGAGCAAGACCAAGAGAGCAUCGCUUCGUUCGCGAAGAGGUGCUUGCGCUGACGGGCUGCCCGUCCGAUGUCAGCGGGUAGGUUGCACGAGGCGUCCAGCAAUGGGCGUCCCAGAUGGAUGGUCGCCCGGGCCGGUGGAGUGAUCCGCCGACCCGACAGGAUCCGGCUUACAGGCCGGCUCAUUCG
rnacentral:RNase_P_RNA from 1 species